rnacentral:rRNA from 1 species
UACAGGGGGUGCAAACGUUGCUCGGAAUCAUUGGGCGUAAAGCGCACGUAGGCGGUUCGUUAUGUCGGAUGUGAAAGCCCUUGGCUUAACCGAGGAAGUGCAUCCGAAACUGGCGAGCUAGAGUACUAAAGAGGAUCGCGGAAUUCCCGGUGUAGAGGUGAAAUUCGUAGAUAUCGGGAGGAACACCAGUGGCGAAGGCGGCUCACUGGCCCGAUACUGACGCUGAGGCACGAAAGCGUGGGGAGCAAACAGG